rnacentral:rRNA from 1 species
CCCUUAGAUGUUCUGGGCUGCACGCGCGCUACACUGAAGCGUUCAACGAGUAUUCACCUUGCCCGGGAGGGUUGGGUAAUCUUUUGAAAACGCUUCGUGAUGGGGAUAGAUUAUUGCAAUUAUUAAUCUUCAACGAGGAAUUCCUAGUAAACGCAAGUCAUCAGCUUGCAUUGAUUACGUCCCUGCCCUUUGUACACACCGCCCGUCGCACCUACUGAUUGAAUGACUCGGUGAAAAAUUGGGACUGUGAGAACAAUUGAUUCAUUUCAAAUGUACUCGUGGGAACUUUUUUUAACCUCGCCAUUUAGAAGAAGGUGAAGUCGUAACA